rnacentral:rRNA from 1 species
CGCGUAGGCGGAUUGACAAGUUGGGGGUGAAAUCCCGGGGCUCAACCUCGGAAUUGCCUUCAAAACUGUUGAUCUGGAGUAUGGUAGAGGUAAGUGGAACUCCGAGUGUAGAGGUGAAAUUCGUAGAUAUUCGGAAGAACACCAGUGGCGAAGGCGACUUACUGGACCAUUACUGACGCUGAGGUGCGAAAGCGUGGGGAGCAAACA